UUUAAAUGGAGAGUUUGAUCCUGGCUCAGGAUGAACGCUGGCGGCGUGCCUAAUACAUGCAAGUCGAACGAAGUUGUUACUUGUAACAACUUAGUGGCGAACGGGUGAGUAACACGUAGGUAACCUGCCCUUUAGUUGGGAAUAACCAUUGGAAACGAUGGCUAAUACCGAAUAAGUAAUUUGGUGGCAUCACUAAAUUAUAAAAGAACCUGAAAGGGUUCGCUAAGGGAGGGACCUGCGUCGCAUUAGUUAGUUGGUAAGGUAACGGCUUACCAAGACAGUGAUGCGUAGCCGGACUGAGAGGUUGAACGGCCACACUGGGACUGAGACACGGCCCAGACUCCUACGGGAGGCAGCAGUAGGGAAUUUUCGGCAAUGGGGGGAACCCUGACCGAGCGACGCCGCGUG
rnacentral:rRNA from 1 species